UACAUGGGGUGCAAACGUUGCUCGGAAUUAUUGGGCGUAAAGCGCACGUAGGCGGUCCGUUAAGUCGGAUGUGAAAGCCCCCGGCUCAACCGGGGAAGUGCAUCCGAAACUGGCAGGCUAGAGUACGAAAGAGGGUCGCGGAAUUCCCGGUGUAGCGGUGAAAUGCGCAGAUAUCGGGAGGAACACCAAUGGCGAAGGCAGCUCGCUGGGACGUUACUGACGCUGAGGCGCGAAAGCGUGGGGAGCAAACAGG
rnacentral:rRNA from 1 species